rnacentral:rRNA from 1 species
UGGGGAAUAUUGCACAAUGGGCGGAAGCCUGAUGCAGCGACGCCGCGUGGGGGAUGACGGCCUUCGGGUUGUAAACCUCUUUCAGUGCAGAACAAGGCUCUUUGUGGGUUGAGGGUAUGCGCAGAAGAAGCGCCGGCUAACUACGUGCCAGCAGCCGCGGUAAUACGUAGGGCGCGAGCGUUGUCCGGAUUUAUUGGGCGUAAGGAGCUCGUAGGCGGUUUGUCGCGUCUGCUGUGAAAUCCUCUGGCUUAACUGGGGGCGUGCAGUGGGGACGGGCAGACUGGAGGGCGGUAGGGGAGACUGGAAUUCGUGGUGUAGCGGUGGAAUGCGCAGAUAUCAGGAGGAACACCGGUGGCGAAGGCGGGUCUCUGGGCCGUUACUGACGCUGAGGAGCGAAAGCAUGGGGAGCGAACAG